AUUGAACGCUGGCGGCAUGCCUUACACAUGCAAGUCGAACGGCAGCACGGGAGCAAUCCUGGUGGCGAGUGGCGAACGGGUGAGUAAUGUAUCGGAACGUACCUUUCAGUGGGGGAUAACGUAGCGAAAGUUACGCUAAUACCGCAUAUUCUGUGUGCAGGAAAGCAGGGGAUCGCAAGACCUUGCGCUGAUUGAGCGGCCGAUAUCAGAUUAGCUAGUUGGUGAGGUAAAGGCUCACCAAGGCGACGAUCUGUAGCGGGUCUGAGAGGAUGAUCCGCCACACUGGAACUGAGACACGGUCCAGACUCCUACGGGAGGCAGCAGUGGAGAAUUUUGGACAAUGGGGCAACCCUGAUCCAGCCAUGCCGCGUGAGUGAAGAAGGCCU
rnacentral:rRNA from 1 species